GCCAACGUUCAUAUCACGUUGAAUACACCAGUUCUCGUCCGAUCACAGAAGUUAAGCAACGAUGAACUUCCCCGGACUUCCCCCAGUACUGCAUCAC
rnacentral:rRNA from 1 species